rfam:Schistosoma curassoni strain Dakar, Senegal genome assembly, scaffold: SCTD_scaffold0001383
AUCUAGCUGACGAGUCCCAAAUAGGACGAAACGGGCUUCAAACUAGAU